GUGUUAAGAGGGUCGGUCCAGCUUUAAGAACUAUGGUAAAUUUUUAGCACACCAUUUUCUUUGCUCUGUCUGAAAAUCAAAAGUAUCCAAUAUGAGACUUGCAAUGAAGAAGGGGGAUGCUUUGAACCUGUAUUAGGGUAUUAUGGGUGAGAAUUUAGAACUGAAUAGCAGCAAUGGAUACAGAACAGAGCACACAUCCAGGAGGAUUGCUUACUGAUCUAAAGAUUGGAACUAAGGCACAAAAUUUGAAAGAAAACUAAGCCUUAAUUUUCAUGCAGUGAAAUAAACUUCUUAGCAUGCAGUAGGUAGAUCAGUGCAAACCUGACAAUUUGACAAAAAUAAAGCAGCUUAUAAAAUUUA